rnacentral:rRNA from 1 species
CGGCAACAGCUCAAAUUUGAAAUCUGGCUUUCGGGCCCGAGUUGUAAUUUGUAGAGGAUACUUUUGAUGCGGUGCCUUCCGAGUUCCCUGGAACGGGACGCCAUAGAGGGUGAGAGCCCCGUCUGGUUGGAUGCCAAAUCUCUGUAAAGUUCCUUCGAC